rnacentral:rRNA from 1 species
UACGAAGGGGGCUAGCGUUGCUCGGAAUCACUGGGCGUAAAGGGUGCGUAGGCGGGUUUUUAAGUCAGAGGUGAAAUCCUGGAGCUCAACUCCAGAACUGCCUUUGAUACUGAGAAUCUUGAGUACGGGAGAGGUGAGUGGAACUGCGAGUGUAGAGGUGAAAUUCGUAGAUAUUCGCAAGAACACCAGUGGCGAAGGCGGCUCACUGGCCCGUUACUGACGCUGAGGCACGAAAGCGUGGGGAGCAAACAGGG